CUGGUUUUAUGAAUGGGCCGCAGGAAGCCCUGCCAUUGGCUGAGAGUCACAGCCAAUCGGUGGAGGAUCGUUCGCAACAGAGGUCUCCCGUCAGACUUUCAGACGGCAGGAAAGGACGGAGGAGGCGCCCAUCUGCGCCAGGCAAAAUGGUCGCCGCAACAGACGGCCAUCUUGGUUCCGGCGGGGGAGCGGAGGGACCAUAGACUCUAAAAGGGAAAAGGAGGAGAGGAGGGAGGAAACGUCUGUCAAGCUUCUUAAACGCAUGCACCUCCGCCUGAAAACAAUCUUUUUUUAUCAUGUCUUAAUCAUUGGGUGAUUAUUUUACGGCUUUGUGAGUCCUUCUCAACGUUGUUAGCGGUUCACCACUUGUUGCCAACACAAAAGUUUGGCAGAGCAUUUAUGGGAAAAGUUUAUGGGAUUGUGUAUAUCACAGUUUACACAUUUUAAUUGAGGUAUAUAUUUAUAUACACCACCGUAGAAGUCUGGGGUCCACCCAGACAAUUUCCUGUUUUCCAUAAAAACUAAAACUUUUAUUUCUCUAAUGAAUUGCAAAAUGAAUAGAACAUACAGGACUGUCUCAGAAAAUUAGAAUAUUGUGAUAAAGUUCUUUAUUUUCUGUAAUGCAAUUAAAAAAACAAAAAUGU